rnacentral:rRNA from 1 species
UACGGAGGGUGCGAGCGUUGUCCGGAAUCACUGGGCGUAAAGGGCGCGUAGGCGGCUCGAUAAGGCUGUGGUGAAAGCCCGGGGCUCAACCCCGGGUCGGCCGUGGCGACUGUUGGGCUGGAGCACUGUAGAGGCGGGCGGAAUUCCGGGUGUAGCGGUGGAAUGCGUAGAGAUCCGGAAGAACACCAGUGGCGAAGGCUGCCCGCUGGGCAGUGGCUGACGCUGAGGCGCGACAGCGUGGGGAGCAAACAGG